GUGUCAGCAGCCGCGGUAAUACAGAGGGUGCGAGCGUUGUCCGGAAUCACUGGGCGUAAAGGGCGCGUAGGUGGCGCGACAAGUCGGUGGUGAAAGUUCGACGCUCAACGUCGAAUCGGCCACCGAUACUGUCGGGCUCGAGCACUGUAGAGGCUAAUGGAAUUCCGGGUGUAGCGGUGGAAUGCGUAGAGAUCCGGAAGAACACCGGUGGCGAAGGCGGUUAGCUGGGCAGUUGCUGACACUGAGGCGCGACAGCGUGGGGAGCAAACAGGAUUAGAUACCCUGGUAGUCCACGCCGUAAACGAUGGGCACUAGAUGCUUGGGGGAGCGACCCCCUGAGUGUCGACGCUAACGCAUUAAGUGCCCCGCCUGGGGAGUACGGCCGCAAGGCUGAA
rnacentral:rRNA from 1 species